GAUGAACGCUGGCGGCGUGCCUAAUACAUGCAAGUCGAGCGAACAGACGAGGAGCUUGCUCCUCUGACGUUAGCGGCGGACGGGUGAGUAACACGUGGAUAACCUACCUAUAAGACUGGGAUAACUUCGGGAAACCGGAGCUAAUACCGGAUAAUAUAUUGAACCGCAUGGUUCAAUAGUGAAAGACGGUUUUGCUGUCACUUAUAGAUGGAUCCGCGCCGCAUUAGCUAGUUGGUAAGGUAACGGCUUACCAAGGCAACGAUGCGUAGCCGACCUGAGAGGGUGAUCGGCCACACUGGAACUGAGAAACGGUACAGACUCCUACGGGAGGCAGCAGUAGGGAAUCUUCCGCGAUGGGCGAGAGCCUGACGGAGCAACGCCGCGUGAGUGAUGAAGGUCUUCGGAUCGUAAAACUCUGUUAUUAGGGAAGAACAAAUGUGUAAGUAACUAUGCACGUCUUGACGGUACCUAAUCAGAAAGCCACGGCUAACUACGUG
rnacentral:rRNA from 1 species